rnacentral:lncRNA from 1 species
CGUAGCCCUUGGAUCGGCCGCUGGCCUUGUCGACGAUCACGCGGCAAUCGUCGAUGUCGCCGUAGCGAACGAAGGCGGCGCGGAGGCCCUCAGCGGUGGUGUCCCAGCCGAGGCCGUGAACAAAGAGCUUGCGGUGGACCGGGUCGAGGUCGGCGACGCGGCGGAUCUCGGCGAGGGCUGCAGGGUCGGAGGCUGCAGCGAAGCGGAGGAGGCCAACGAGACGGUCCCUGGAGAUCGGCUCCAGGAGAUUCCCCACGUCGUCGUCGUCGUCGUCCUGGUCGCUUUCGCUGCCUCUGCCGCCGUCCUCGUCGUCAGAGGCCGGCG